AUUGAACGCUGGCGGCAGGCCUAACACAUGCAAGUCGAACGGUAACAGGAAACAGCUUGCUGUUUCGCUGACGAGUGGCGGACGGGUGAGUAAUGUCUGGGAAACUGCCUGAUGGAGGGGGAUAACUACUGGAAACGGUAGCUAAUACCGCAUAACGUCGCAAGACCAAAGAGGGGGACCUUCGGGCCUCUUGCCAUCGGAUGUGCCCAGAUGGGAUUAGCUAGUAGGUGGGGUAACGGCUCACCUAGGCGACGAUCCCUAGCUGGUCUGAGAGGAUGACCAGCCACACUGGAACUGAGACACGGUCCAGACUCCUACGGGAGGCAGCAGUGGGGAAUAUUGCACAAUGGGCGCAAGCCUGAUGCAGCCAUGCCGCGUGUAUGAAGAAGGCCUUCGGGUUGUAAAGUACUUUCAGCGGGGAGGAAGGGAGUAAAGUUAAUACCUUUGCUCAUUGACGUUACCCGCAGAAGAAGCACCGGCUAACUCCAUG
rnacentral:rRNA from 1 species